ensembl:lncRNA
UUGCAAUCCCAUGGACGGCAGCCCACCAGGCUCCUGUGUCCAUGAGAUUUUCCAAGCAAGGAGACUGGAGUGUGUUGCCAUUCCCUUCUCCAGGGGAUCUUCCCAACCCUGGGAUCGAACCCGGGUCUCCUGCACUGCAGGAGUUGGUGAUGGACAGGGAGGCCUGGCGUGCUGCGGUUCAUCGGUUCAUCGGGUCGCAAAGAGUUGGACACGACUGAGCGACUGAACUGAACUGAAUUUAAGGAGAUGUUGGGACAGCCACCAGGGCGGCCACCACUGGAAGGAAGCGGUAUUGGAGUCCUUACUGCGGAAAUCGCGGCGCGUCUCCUUUAAGAGGAAGUGAAGCCCCGCCCCGUAUGGAAACACCUCUCGGGGCCCUUCGGGUAACUUCCCACUGUGCCGGGGCAGGAAGGACCCAGGAGGGGCGUGUUCCCGUGUGUGCGGCUACGUGGGGGCGGGGCUUACGGAGCGGUCCUCUGGUGACGCGGCCGGCCCUUGGGUCGGUCAUGAUCCUGGGUCCUGAGAGCUGGGUGGGGCCGUCAUGAAGGGUUACCUGGCUGUAGGGCGCGUGCUCCCCGAGGACGUGGGCCGUGCUUCUUCCAGGAGGGCUGGCCCCGGGCCUGCUUAGGGGAGAUGGGCCGGCGGGGACUUGCUCUUGCGGCCCCGGCGUGGUUGGUGUAGAGCAGAGGGGGAGGCCGUUCCCCCGCGGGGCGCUUUUGUAAGAGAGUCUCAGGUCUGGACUCCCCCGUGCGUGUCGCCCGCUCAGGCCCGGCCCGUGAGAAGUGCGGCCCAGGGUGGAAGGACCGGCUGCUCCUGGGCUGGGCGCCGGGAAGCCGAAGCCGGCCGGAACUACGGCGGGGAGGCGUGUGGGAGAGGCUCCGGCCUCCGCCUCCCAGGCUCCAGAGCAGCGCGGCCGACAGACGCGGGCAGGGGAGGGCCUCGAGGCGGAGCGCUGUGGGGUCCACGUGUCAGAGAAGCCCUUAGUGCUCUGGGAGGACGGGCCUCGGAGCGCCGCGGGCAGGGGGGCUGUUCACCACGCGUCCCCCUCGGACAGAACAGCAGGUGUGAGGAAGCCCACGGCAGCCACACCAGGGGCAGGUGUGAGUGCAGUAGCUCCUGCCUCGUUUCGACAC